rnacentral:rRNA from 1 species
AUACGUAGGUCCCAAGCGUUGCGCGAUCUCACUGGGCGUAAAGCGUCCCCAGCCGGUCCGGUAAGCGGAUUGUCAAAACCCGCGGCUCAACCGCGGGAGGGCAACCCGAACUGCCGGACUUGAGGCAAGCCCAGGCAGGCGGAAUUCCCGGUGUAGCGGUGAAAUGCGUAGAUAUCUGGAGGAACACCAAAGGGGAAGCCAGCCUGCUGGGGCUGCCCUGACGGUCACGGACGAAAGCUGGGGGAGCAAACCGGAUUAGAUACCCCGGUAGUCC